GCCUAUGCCUAAACCCUCCGGGGGGAGCCUCCCAUCCCAUCCCCCCUCCUAGUCUGAAAACCUUCCCCGCUGGGCAGCUUCCUCUCACACAGCGCAGCCCCCGGAGGCGGUCAAAGAAGGGGCAACGGCGUCUUCUCCCUCACCCUUGGCUUCCCCCGGGGCUGGGAGCUCAGGUUCCGGGACUUCCCUGCAAGGUGUCUGAUGUUUUCCCCUGGGAAGGCGAAGGAUUGCGAGACAAGAGGACAGCAUUAGCCCAGACAAUCUUCUGUCAGAUCUUCCUUACAGGAAAGCUACUGAGCAGAACGCAACGAUAAUUGUAUCUAGAAGAUCCAGAAGAAAUAUAAGAAAAUCAGCAAGGACCAACUAUACAGCAGGGAUCAAAGACAAACGCUCUACUUGUGAUAUAAUAUUGGUCAUUGUUAGUAGUAAUCGUAUUUUAAAACCUGAUCAUAACUAAGCUAGUCUGAAAGAAAGGUUGGGUCUGAGUUGUAUAUAAUGAGGUGAUUAUAGAAAAAAUUGGUUUAAACAAAAGAUUAAAUGGAGGAAUUAUCUGAUAAAAAACAUGGUAUGAAAGGAAGCAUGUGGGGGUGGGGGGCUGGAGUGUUGGAGCCUGACUCUCAUCUGGGAUAAGGAGGAAACAACAUAUACAUCUGAAAAGGUCUAGAAGUCUUCUGAACUUCGGCGAGUGUGAAUGUGAAAAGGACUGGAGAACGACUGAACAAGUUGUGGUUUAUGAGUGUGGCGGAAUACUGCUGGGCUAUAAAGUGGCGAGCUUACUGAUUUUUGAAAAAAAAUAUGGAAAGUGUAAGAAAUAAUGAAGAGCAAAAUCAGCAGAAUCAA